rnacentral:lncRNA from 1 species
ACGUCCGCAAGUUGAUUAGCCGUGAAAACUGGAUCACGAAUGUACCGAAAAACUGACGUACUAGAUCAUGAGUAGGAGUAGGAGCUACUAGAGUUUGAAGUGAGAGCGUGCCUACCAAGUUUACAUUCACCAAGCUUCUGAUGGUACAGUGUGACGCACUGCUGCUGGUGUUUGGAGCGAUACUGCGCCUACCAAGUUUACCUACCAAGCUUUUGAUGGUACGGUUUGACACACUAUUGCUAGGGUUUAGAGCAAGUCCGCGCUUGCCAAGUUUACCCACCAAGCUUCUGACGAUAUGGUUUGAUGUGUUGCUGCUAGAGUUUGGAGUGAGACUGCGCCUGUCAAGUUAACCUGCCAAGUUUCUGACAG